AUGUAGCAAUACAUGGCGUACUGCUCAGUAACACGUGGACAACCUACCCUUAGGACGGGGAUAAACCCGGGAAACUGGGUAUAAUACCCGAUAGUCCUCGGCUGCUGGAAUGCACCGAGCACUAAAGCUCCGGCGCCUAAGGAUGGGUCUGCGGCCUAUCAGGUAGUAGUGGGUGUAGCGUACCUACUAGCCUACGACGGGUACGGGUUGUGAGAGCAAGAGCCCGGAGAUGGAUUCUGAGACACGAAUCCAGGCCCUACGGGGUGCAGCAGGCGCGAAAACUUUACAAUGCUGGAAACAACGAUAAGGGAACCUCGAGUGCCAGGUUACAAAUCUGGCUGUCGUGAUGCCUAAAAAGCAUUGCAUAGCAAGGGCCGGGCAAGACCGGUGCCAGCCGCCGCGGUAACACCGGCGGCUCGAGUGGUAACCGUUAUUAUUGGGUCUAAAGGGUCUGUAGCCGGCCGGAUAAGUCUCUUGGGAAAUCUGGCAGCUUAACUGUCAGGCUUUCAGGAGAUACUGUCUGGCUCGAGGCCGGGAGAGGUGAGAGGUACUUCAGGGGUAGGGGUGAAAUCUUGUAAUCCUUGAAGGACCACCAGUGGCGAAGGCGUCUCACCAGAACGGACCUGACGGCAAGGGACGAAAGCUAGGGGCACGAACCGGAUUAGAUACCCGGGUAGUCC
rnacentral:rRNA from 1 species